CCUACGGGAGGCAGCAGUGGGGAAUAUUGGGCAAUGGGCGCAAGCCUGACCCAGCAACGCCGCGUGAAGGAAGAAGGCUUUCGGGUUGUAAACUUCUUUUGUCAGGGAAGAGUAGAAGACGGUACCUGACGAAUAAGCCACGGCUAACUACGUGCCAGCAGCCGCGGUAAUACGUAGGUGGCAACCGUCGUCCGGAUUUACUGGGUGUAAAGGGCGUGUAGCCGGGUUGACAAGUCAGAUGUGAAAUCCUGCGGCUUAACCGCAGAACUGCAUUUGAAACUGUUGAUCUUGAGUACUGGAGAGGCAGACGGAAUUCCUAGUGUAGCGGUGAAAUGCGUAGAUAUUAGGAGGAACACCAGUGGCGAAGGCGGUCUGCUGGACAGCAACUGACGGUGAGGCGAGAAAGCGUGGGGAGCAAACAGGAUUAGAUACCCUAGUAGUC
rnacentral:rRNA from 1 species